CGAGGAGAAGCGAGAGGGAGGAGCGCGAGGAACUGCAUGGCGGCGGAAACGUUCAAGCAGAGGAAAAGACUUUGAGAAGUUAACACGCUGGUUGAGAAACGUAUGUCGAGACAAACGGACAGUGAGUCUCAGAAGUUACUGUUCAGUCAACGCAACACCGUGUUUGAGUUUACAUUCUGGAAAAGUGUGUUAGACGAGAAGUGCCGCUAGAAGCUAAUGUAGCUCACGUUAGCUUAACUUACCUGACAGCCUUAAUGACCGAGCAGCUCAUUCAGCCACUCGUAAAGGUGAAGCCUGUUAGCCUGCUGUGUGACCGACCCGCAUGAGAGGAUCCGCGGCGAGUGUCCACCACGGACGCUACCAGGGGAACGGACGCGAGGAAUCAUUUACGGCCCAGGCUGAAGCAACCCGCUGUCCCGCUGAAAGGUCAAGGACGAGGACGCCAUUAACCGCCGCUCCGAUUUCACAGCGGGCUGUUAUUGUCCCAUUCAAGACCCAUGCCCCGGUGAGUUAUAGACACUGAACAAAAGACAGAAAGAAUCCUUGGCUCGUAACUUUUUUCAGAGCAAUUGAAAUUCCUCUUCCAUGCCACACUGUCAAGAAACACUUUUGUACAUUUCUUCGCCAAUAUCCCAAGAGUGUAAGAGGUUUAUGGGUUUUUAUUUUUUUGUACUGGAAGGCAAACACAUAAAACAUUGAAACAUUAUAACUCACUGUCCAAAACGUGCACCAGCAAAAUCCACUGAAUGCAGUUUGGCUGCGUCUUUUGUUCACUCCAUGUCCGGGUGUUAUUCCUGUUCUAGCUGCGCUCAGACUACAUGGUUCACACCUUCUGACAAUCAAAAGUAGAAAUCCGGUCUGAGCCCAGAUUCAGCCCAAAUCAUCUGGUAGCGUGAGGAGUUUGCAGAUCUGCAUUUACUCCUAAUCCAAGUUUUGUUGGCCUGUCUGGAUUCAAAGGGGCUAAUGUAUGAUCGGCCCAGUCGAAAAAAAUAGUUCUUGUUUUUAUCUAUUGACUUACUCCUUAUUAAACCACAUUCUGUUUCAUAACCAUA